rnacentral:rRNA from 1 species
GAUGAACGCUGGCGGCGUGCCUAAUACAUGCAAGUCGAGCGAACAGACGAGGAGCUUGCUCCUUUGACGUUAUCGGCGGACGGGUGAGUAACACGUAGGUAACCUACCCAUAAGACUGGGAUAACUUCGGGAAACCGGAGCUAAUACCGGAUAAUAUUUCGAACCGCAUGGUUCGAUAGUGAAAGAUGGCUUUGCUAUCACUUAUAGAUGGACCAGCCUCGUAUUAGCUAGUUGGUAAGGUAACGGCUUACCAAGGCAACGAUACGUAGCCGACCUGAGAGCGUGAACGGACAGACUGGCACUGAGACACGGUCCAGACUCCGACAGUAGGAAGCAGCAGGGAAUCUUCCGGAAAGGGGGAGAGCGUGACGGAGCAACGUCGCGUGAGGGAUGAAGGUGUACGGACGGUAAAACGCUGUUAGUAGUGAAGAAGAAAAGUGUAAGUAACUGGGAACAUACUGACGGUACCUAAUCAGAAAGCCACGGCUAACUACGUG